rnacentral:rRNA from 1 species
AUUGAACGCUGGCGGCAGGCCUAACACAUGCAAGUCGAACGAGUGGCGGACGGGUGAGUAAUGUCUGGGAAACUGCCCGAUGGAGGGGGAUCACUACUGGAAACGGUAGCUAAUACCGCAUACCAUCGGAUGUGCCCAGAUGGGAGUAGCUUGUAGGUGAGGUAACGGCUCACCUAGGCGACGAUCCCUAGCUGGUGUGAGAGGAUGACCAGCCACACUGGAACUGGGACACGGUCCAGAAGCCAACGGGAGGUAGCAGUGGGGAAUAUUGCACAAGGGGCGGAAGCCUUAUGAAGCCAUGCCGCGGGUAUGAAGAAGGCCUUCGGGGUGUAAAGUACGUUCAGCGGGGAGGCGUGACCCUCAGAAUACGCACCGGCUAACUCCGUGCCAGCAGCCGCGGUAAUAC